rnacentral:rRNA from 1 species
UACGGAGGGUGCGAGCGUUGUCCGGAAUCAUUGGGCGUAAAGGGCGCGUAGGUGGCCCCUCAAGCGGGCGGUGAAAGUCGGGGGCUCAACCCCCGAUCGGCCGUGCGAACUGGGGGGCUGGAGCACUGUAGAGGCAGGCGGAAUUCCGGGUGUAGCGGUGGAAUGCGUAGAGAUCCGGAAGAACACCGGUGGCGAAGGCGGCCUGCUGGGCAGUGGCUGACGCUGAGGUGCGAAAGCGUGGGGAGCAAACAGG